rnacentral:lncRNA from 1 species
GCGCACCGGAUGCCGAGUCCGACGCCAACGCUACAGCCCCGUACCGGUCCGCCGCUUCGCGUGAAGACGUGUUCCGGCGCCCGGCGGCGCGACGCCGAGCGAACGGCGACGCGGCCGCGCGGGAGCGAGGCGACACACACGGCCCGACCGACCCGGUCCUCGGAGCCAAUCCUUCUUCCGAAGGUACGGAUCCAUUUUGCCGACUUCCCUUACCUACAUUGGCGCUAUCGACGAGAGGCUGUACACCUUGGAGACCUGCUGCGGAUGGUGGGUACGGACCGACUCGAGAGCUGCGAUUCGUUACGGACCCGGAUUUUCCAGGGCCGCCGAGAGCGCACCGGACGCCGCCCGAGACGCGGCGCUCUACAGGUACCAUAUCCGUAUCUCCGGACGAGCCGAUUCCACGGACGCGGUCCUUUACGAAGAAGAGAGAACUCUUCCCGGGGCUCCCGGCAACGUCUCCGGGCUCGCUUGCGUUGCCGCUGCUUCGCCCGGCCGCCGGCUUCGACGACGGACGCGCUGCUAGGAAGAGCACGCCGCGUUCCCGCCGACGGACGGGCACUCUCCGAGUUCGGGUUCGGGAAUAUUAACCCGAUUCCCUUUCGAUGCGAGGCCGGCCGCUUCUUUUCUUCUUUCUAAACGACGGAUCCGGCGCCUUUCGUGGAAGCUUUCGCCCGCUUCUUAGGACCGACUGACCCGUGCUCGACCGCCGUUGGCACGGAACCCUUCUCCACUUCGGUCUUCGAAGGUCUCGUUCGAAUAUUUGCUACUACCACCGAGAUCUGCACCCGCGGUCGGCUUCACCCGGGCUCGCGCCCGCGGCUUCCAUGCACGCCGCGGCGCCCUCCUACUCGACCGGGCAUCGGAAAG